rnacentral:rRNA from 2 species
UUCCGGUUGAUCCUGCCGGACCUGACUGCUAUCGGAUUGAUACUAAGCCAUGCGAGUCAUUGUAGCAAUACAAGGCAUACGGCUCAGUAACGCGUAGUCAACCUAACCUAUGGACGGGAAUAACCUCGGGAAACUGAGAAUAAUGCCCGAUAGAACACUAUACCUGGAAUGGUUUGUGUUCCAAAUGAUUUAUCGCCAUAGGAUGGGACUGCGGCCUAUCAGUUUGUUGGUGAGGUAAUGGCCCACCAAGACUAUUACAGGUACGGGCUCUGAGAGGAGUAGCCCGGAGAUGGGUACUGAGACACGGACCCAGGCCCUAUGGGGCGCAGCAGGCGAGAAAACUUUGCAAUGUGCGAAAGCACGACAAGGUUAAUCCGAGUGAUUUGUGCUAAACGAAUCUUUUGUUAGUCCUAGAAACACUAACGAAUAAGGGGUGGGCAAGUUCUGGUGUCAGCCGCCGCGGUAAAACCAGCACCUCAAGUGGUCAGGAUGAUUAUUGGGCCUAAAGCAUCCGUAGCCGGCUCUGUAAGUUUUCGGUUAAAUCUGUACGCUUAACGUACAGGCUGCCGGGAAUACUGCAAAGCUAGGGAGUGGGAGAGGUAGACGGUACUCGGUAGGAAGUGGUAAAAUGCUUUGAUCUAUCGAUGACCACCUGUGGCGAAGGCGGUCUACCAGAACACGUCCGACGGUGAGGGAUGAAAGCUGGGGGAGCAAACCGGAUUAGAUACCCGGGUAGUCCCAGCUGUAAACUAUGCAAACUCAGUGAUGCAUUGGCUUGUGGCCAAUGCAGUGCUGCAGGGAAGCCGUUAAGUUUGCCGCCUGGGAAGUACGUACGCAAGUAUGAAACUUAAAGGAAUUGGCGGGGGAGCACCACAAGGGGUGAAGCCUGCGGUUCAAUUGGAGUCAACGCCGGG